GAACCUGCGGAGGGAUCAUUACUGAGUUUACGCUCUACAACCCUUUGUGAACAUACCUAUAACUGUUGCUUCGGCGGGUAGGGUCUCCGCGACCCUCCCGGCCUCCCGCCUCCGGGCGGGUCGGCGCCCGCCGGAGGAUAACCAAACUCUGAUUUAACGACGUUUCUUCUGAGUGGUACAAGCAAAUAAUCAAAACUUUUAACAACGGAUCUCUUGGUUCUGGCAUCGAUGAAGAACGCAGCGAAAUGCGAUAAGUAAUGUGAAUUGCAGAAUUCAGUGAAUCAUCGAAUCUUUGAACGCACAUUGCGCCCGCCAGCAUUCUGGCGGGCAUGCCUGUUCGAGCGUCAUUUCAACCCUCAAGCUCUGCUUGGUGUUGGGGCCCUACAGCUGAUGUAGGCCCUCAAAGGUAGUGGCGGACCCUCUCGGAGCCUCCUUUGCGUAGUAACUUUACGUCUCGCACUGGGAUCCGGAGGGACUCUUGCCGUAAAACCCCCAAUUUUCCAAAGGUUGACCUCGGAUCAGGUAGGAAUACCCGCUGAACUUAAGCAUAUCAAUAA
rnacentral:rRNA from 1 species